CAAAAUCACUGUGAGCAUAAAAGGCUCAUCCUGCAUGUUUUAAUCGGAAGAUAUAUUUGCCCACCUGUAAAGAUCUACUCACAAUUUCAAGGACCGGAAGUAGGCUGAACCAUCCGCAUUCCCCCUAAAAUUGCAAGGAAGUUAGGGGAACCAAGUUCUGUUCAAUAAUCUACAUCUAGGUGUCACAUUUCGACCUGUCUGCAAACAAGUACCAUCACACAUCACAUAAUCUCAUCUACAUCUGUGAGAGAUUAU